UCUGCUCAGGACGAACGCUGGCGGCGUGCUUAACACAUGCAAGUCGAACGAUGAAGCACCAGCUUGCUGGUGUGGAUUAGUGGCGAACGGGUGAGUAACACGUGAGUAACCUGCCCCUCACUCUGGGAUAAGCCUGGGAAACUGGGUCUAAUACUGGAUACGACCGAUCUCCGCAUGGAGUGUUGGUGGAAAGUUUUUGUGGUGGGGGAUGGACUCGCGGCCUAUCAGCUUGUUGGUGGGGUAAUGGCCUACCAAGGCGACGACGGGUAGCCGGCCUGAGAGGGCGACCGGCCACACUGGGACUGAGACACGGCCCAGACUCCUACGGGAGGCAGCAGUGGGGAAUAUUGCACAAUGGGCGAAAGCCUGAUGCAGCGACGCCGCGUGAGGGAUGACGGCCUUCGGGUUGUAAACCUCUUUCACCAGGGACGAAGCUAACGUGACGGUACCUGGAGAAGAAGCACCGGCUAACUACGUGCCAGCAGCCGCGGUAAUACGUAGGGUGCGAGCGUUGUCCGGAAUUAUUGGGCGUAAAGAGCUUGUAGGCGGUCUGUCGCGUCUGCUGUGAAAGACCGGGGCUUAACUCCGGUUCUGCAGUGGGUACGGGCAGACUAGAGUGUGGUAGGGGAGACUGGAAUUCCUGGUGUAGCGGUGAAAUGCGCAGAUAUCAGGAGGAACACCGAUGGCGAAGGCAGGUCUCUGGGCCAUUACUGACGCUGAGAAGCGAAAGCAUGGGGAGCGAACAGGAUUAGAUACCCUGGUAGUCCAUGCCGUAAACGUUGGGCGCUAGGUGUGGGACUCAUUCCACGAGUUCCGUGCCGCAGCUAACGCAUUAAGCGCCCCGCCUGGGGAGUACGGCCGCAAGGCUAAAACUCAAAGGAAUUGACGGGGGCCCGCACAAGCGGCGGAGCAUGCGGAUUAAUUCGAUGCAACGCGAAGAACCUUACCAAGGCUUGACAUACACCGGAAUCAUGCAGAGAUGUGUGCGUCUUCGGACUGGUGUACAGGUGGUGCAUGGUUGUCGUCAGCUCGUGUCGUGAGAUGUUGGGUUAAGUCCCGCAACGAGCGCAACCCUCGUUCCAUGUUGCCAGCACUUC
rnacentral:rRNA from 1 species